GCCGCCGCCCCGGCGCCCAGGCUCGGUGCCGGAGAGUCAUGCCCGUGAGCCCUGGGCACCUCCUGAUGUCCUGCGAGGCCACGGUGUUCCCAAACCUCAGGAUUGCCCUGCCCCACUCCAGAGGCUCUCAGGCCCCACCCCGGAGCCCUCUGUGUGGAGCCGCCUCCUCCUGGCCAGUUCACCUGUAGUCCUGAAGGGAGACCUGCUGUGUGGAACCUCUUCUGGGACCCAGCCAUGAGUGUGGAGCUGAGCAGCUGAACCUGAAACUCUUCCACUGUGAGUGAAGGAGGCUUUUCCGCACAUGAAGGAUGCUGAGCAGGAAGGACUCCUCUCUGCCUGCAGUUGUAGCGAGUGGACCAGCACCAGGGGCUCUCUAGACUGCCCCUCCUCCGUCGCCUUCCCUGCCUCUCCAGGACAGAGCAGCCACGUCUGCACACCUCGCCCUCUUUACACUCAGUUUUCAGAGCACAUUUCUCCUAUUUCCUGCGUGUUGCAGCGCCUACCUGAACUUACUCAGACCACCUACUUCUCUAGCAGCACUGGGCGUCCCUUCCAGCAAGACGAUGGCUGUGCUCAGGCAGCUGGCGCUCCUCCUCUGGAAGAACUACACCCUGCAGAAGCGGAAAGUCCUGGUGACGGUCCUGGAACUCUUCCUGCCAUUGCUGUUUUCUGGGAUCCUGAUCUGGCUUCGCUUGAAGAUUCAGUCGGAAAAUGUGCCCAACGCCACCAUCUACCCGGGCCAGUCCAUCCAGGAGCUGCCUCUGUUCUUCACCUUCCCUCCGCCAGGAGACACCUGGGAGCUCGCCUAUAUCCCUUCUCACAGUGACGCUGCCAAGACCGUCACCGAGACAGUGCGCAGGGCACUUGUGAUCAACAUGCGGGUGCGCGGCUUUCGCUCCGAGAAGGACUUUGAGGACUACAUUAGGUACGACAACCGGUCGUCCAGCGUGCUGGCCGCCGUGGUCUUCGAGCACCCCUUCAACCACAGCAAGGAGCCCCUGCCGCUGGCGGUGAAAUAUCACCUACGGUUCAGUUACACACGAAGAAAUUACAUGUGGACCCAAACAGGCUCCUUUUUCCUGAAAGAGACAGAAGGCUGGCACACUACUUCCCUUUUCCCGCUUUUCCCAAACCCAGGACCAAGGGAACCUACAUCCCCUGAUGGCGGAGAACCUGGGUACAUCCGGGAAGGCUUCCUGGCCGUGCAGCAUGCCGUGGACCGGGCCAUCAUGCAGUACCAUGCCAAUGCCGCCACACGCCAGCUGUUCCAGAGACUCACGGUGACCAUCAAGAGGUUCCCGUACCCGCCGUUCAUCGCAGACCCCUUCCUCGUGGCCAUCCAGUACCAGCUGCCCCUGCUGCUGCUGCUCAGCUUCACCUACACCGCGCUCACCAUUGCCCGUGCUGUCGUGCAGGAGAAGGAAAGGAGGCUGAAGGAGUACAUGCGCAUGAUGGGGCUCAGCAGCUGGCUGCACUGGAGUGCCUGGUUCCUCUUGUUCUUCCUCUUCCUCCUCAUCACCACCUCCUUCAUGACUCUGCUCUUCUGUGUCAAGGUGAAGCCGGAUGUAGCCGUGCUGUCCCGCAGCGACCCCUCUCUGGUGCUGGCCUUCCUGCUGUGCUUCGCCAUCUCUACCAUCUCCUUCAGCUUCAUGGUCAGCACCUUCUUCAGCAAAGCCAACAUGGCAGCAGCCUUCGGCGGCUUCCUCUACUUCUUCACCUACAUCCCCUACUUCUUCGUGGCCCCUCGGUACAACUGGAUGACUCUGAGCCAGAAGCUCUGCUCCUGCCUCCUGUCCAACGUCGCCAUGGCAAUGGGAGCCCAGCUCAUUGGGAAAUUUGAGGCGAAAGGCAUGGGCAUCCAGUGGCGAGACCUGCUGAGUCCCGUCAACGUGGACGACGACUUCUGCUUCGGGCAGGUGCUGGGGAUGCUGCUGCUGGACUCUGUGCUCUAUGGCCUGGUGACCUGGUACAUGGAGGCCGUCUUCCCAGGGCAGUUCGGCGUGCCUCAGCCCUGGUACUUCUUCAUCAUGCCCUCCUAUUGGUGUGGGAAGCCAAGGGCGGUUGCAAGGAAGGAGGAAGAGGACAGUGACCCCGAGAAAGCGCUCAGAAAUGAGUAUUUUGAAGCCGAGCCAGAGGACCUGGUGGCGGGGAUCAAGAUCAAGCACCUGUCCAAGGUGUUCAGGGUGGGGAAUAAGGACAGGGCAGCCGUCAGAGACCUGAACCUGAACCUGUACGAGGGGCAGAUCACCGUCCUGCUGGGCCACAAUGGCGCUGGGAAGACCACCACCCUUUCCAUGCUCACAGGUCUCUUUCCCCCCACCAGUGGACGGGCAUACAUCAGCGGGUAUGAAAUUUCCCAGGACAUGGUUCAGCUCCGGAAGAGCUGGGCCUGUGCCCACAGCACGACAUCCUGUUUGACAACUUGACAGUCGCAGAGCACCUUUAUUUCUAUGCCCAGCUGAAGGGCCUGUCACGCCAGAAGUGCCCUGAAGAAGUCAAGCAGAUGCUGCAUGUCAUCGGCCUGGAGGACAAGUGGAACUCACGGAGCCGCUUCCUGAGCGGGGGCAUGAGGCGCAAGCUCUCCAUCGGCAUCGCCCUCAUCGCAGGCUCCAAGGUGCUGAUACUGGACGAGCCCACCUCGGGCAUGGACACCAUCUCCAGGAGGGCCAUCUGGGAUCUUCUUCAGCGACAGAAAAGUGACCACACCAUCGUGCUGACCACCCACUUCAUGGAUGAGGCUGACCUGCUGGGAGACCGCAUCGCCAUCAUGGCCAAGGGGGAGCUGCAGUGCUGCGGGUCCUCGCUGUUCCUCAAGCAGAAAUACGGUGCCGGCUAUCACAUGACGCUGGUGAAGGAACCGCACUGCAACCCCGAAGACAUCUCCCAGCUGGUCCACCACCACGUGCCCAACGCCACACUGGAGAGCAGCGCUGGGGCCGAGCUGUCUUUCAUCCUUCCCAGAGAGAGCACACACAGGUUUGAAGGUCUCUUUGCUAAACUGGAGAAGAAGCAGAAGGAGCUGGGCAUUGCCAGCUUUGGGGCAUCCAUCACCACCAUGGAGGAAGUCUUCCUUCGGGUCGGGAAGCUGGUGGACAGCAGCAUGGACAUCCAGGCCAUCCAGCUCCCUGCCCUGCAGUACCAGCACGAGAGGCGCGCUAGCGACUGGGCUGUGGACAGCAACCUCUGUGGGGCCAUGGACCCCUCUGACGGCAUUGGAGCCCUCAUCGAGGAGGAGCGUACCGCUGUCAAGCUCAACACUGGGGUGAGUGCCCAGGUGGGUGGGCGGGUGGCGGGGGAAGGGCGAGCAGCCCCCAAACACCUCAUGUGAGCCAAUGCAGAGGAGAGUCUGCGAGGGCGCAAACAGGGUCCAGGAGAGUCAGCACACCGGGCAGAGGGCGGGCAGCGGCUCACACCGCAUGGGUCGGCAGGGAGAAGCGUUUGAAUGGAGCAACUGGAAUUUCUCACACUCUAACUCAGGCACAGCACCCUGCUCAACAGGAGCUUGUCGGGUGCCCAGCUCUGUGUUGAUGUCUCCAGCAGCCAACGACAGGGAGGGGGGUUGCUGCACCCAGUUCACAGAUGGGAAACCGAGGCCUGGGCCAAAGUCAGAUAUGACAGAGUGACAGAGCUCAGUCUGAUCCCUG
rnacentral:sRNA from 1 species